ACUCCUACGGGAGGCAGCAGUGGGGAAUUUUGCGCAAUGGGGGAAACCCUGACGCAGCAACGCCGCGUGAGUGAUGAAGGCCCUUGGGUCGUAAAGCUCUGACAGAGGGAAAGAAGUGUAGAGUGGCUAAUAUCCACAUUACUUGACGGUACCCUCAAAGGAAGCACCGGCUAACUCCGUGCCAGCAGCCGCGGUAAUACGGGGGGUGCAAGCGUUGUUCGGAUUUAUUGGGCGUAAAGCGCGUGUAGGCGGUUUUGUAAGUCUGAUGUGAAAGCCCUGGGCUCAACCCGGGAAGUGCAUUGGAUACUGUAAGACUUGAAUACGGGAGAGGGCAGUGGAAUUCCUAGUGUAGGAGUGAAAUCCGUAGAUAUUAGGAGGAACACCGGUGGCGAAGGCGGCUGCCUGGACCGAUAUUGACGCUGAGACGCGAAAGCGUGGGUAGCAAACAGGAUUAGAUACCCUGGUAGUCCACGCCGUAAACGAUGAGAACUAGGUGUUGCGGGUA
rnacentral:rRNA from 1 species